CACAGACCAGUUCAGAGCAUGGCUGUUCCCCAGUCCUGUACCUCCUUUCCUCUUUUCUCUGACAUUCAGUCUUCAAGAGGUCUUACCGGUUGUGUUUUCCCCUCAACUCUACUGCCUUGUGCUUGGUGGCAGAACUGUCACAUGCAGCUGAGAUCACACUGACCCCAUAACUGAGCAAUCUUGUAUGCCAGCAGCAACAGUAGACCGAGAACAUCUCAGUUAGGUGUCGUAAAAAGUGAAGUGUCUGGCAGCCACAAACCUCAUUACAUCCCUAGCAAAGGCCUUAUACAAAAUGAUGCUCCCCUGAUGCAAGAACCUAGUCUUCCCAGAUUUCUUUACAACUUCAAGUACAAUCCUAGAGCCAAACUGAUAGCAUGUGAGAAGUAGGUUGAAGGCUCUUUUCCUGAUGGAGACAAAUUGCGAAUGCUAGCUACUUUCAAUACCAUGCUCACUGUGCUUUGGCAUUUAGAGACAUCCUUAAGCAUGGAUUUCUUGGUUUCUAUUGUUUGUAUGUUCUGCCCCAAUGUUAUUUCAGUGUACAUUUUAAUGACUGAAUUUAUUAUAUAGCUCACUGCACAAAAAUUUCAGUUACAUUAUUAAAAACUCCCUAGUACUGAUUUUUGGAUCAGAUAUUUCCUGCAUGUAUUUUGAAUCCACUGUUGGUUAUUGAGUAGCUUUUCUUAAUUUUUUUUUUUUUUGUUCUUGGUCCUGUCUGGGAAUAAAGGCUAAUAUGGGUCUGCCCUCAGUACUGUUACCUUUUUUUUCCUCCCCUGUAUUCCAGACUACAGCACAGACCUCUCUUAAACCCAGAGAGACAAGAUAAGCCUUUUCUGCCUGGCAGCAUUUCAGAGACAUUAAGUGUAAGAGAGAAGAGUUAGUGUAGUUUGCUGCUCUGGUGUGACAGUAUUCAGAGUUGAAAAAGGGGCAGCUCUUGCUACGUGGACCGCACUGAUGGGCUUUUCAAGUUUGCCAUUUUCCUGUGACCGGAGAGAGAGAGCAAGGGAGAAAUGUCACAGAAAACAUUCAGACCAUGAAAAACAUCAGGAACUGGGAAAACUCUCUGCAGGAAUGAGGAAAGCAAGAAUUUUAGGUAAAAGACAGGCAUUUGUAAUUUGCCAAAAGUUGU
rnacentral:lncRNA from 1 species